UCCUGAAUUCGAAAGGGAUUGGAUUCAACUGCAUCCGGCAAUUCAGGCUGCCUCCCGCCAGAUGGCGCCGGUCGCCCGCGGCGAUUCAUUUCGCCUGCGGUGUCGUUCCCGGCGUUCACUCGGCGGCGUGGUGUAUCGCUCUGGAGUGGGAGCAGUGCACUUCCUCCCUAGUAGAAACGUCGCGACCCGUUGGGUGCCGGUCUAAGGCCCGGGCAGGCAGCCCGCGCGUCCCGCGGCUUAACCGUCGCGGGCGCGCGGACGUCCGGUGACCCGGCCGGCUGCCCGACGGUAUGACCAGAGGAGUCGAUCCGCUGAAUGAGAAGCACUUGGGUUCUGUGCAGCGUCCGGCCCGGCGCCGUCGCGUGCGGGGAAGCCGACCCAGGUCGGCGUGGGUGUCCGUGCGGCGUCACGGCCCUGGCCCCGUUUCGCGUCGGAUGUCCGGUGGCCUCGGACCGGAUCAGCACUCCCGUCUGCGACGCCCACCUUCGGAUGGUCUCCCG
rnacentral:rRNA from 1 species